rnacentral:rRNA from 1 species
AUGUCUCACGUGGUAGACUUCUUCUCCUCUCUCCUCUCUGCUAAACCCGAGGUUGCUCGCUCUUUUUGGACGGACCAAGAGAAGGUUUCUGCUGAGGAGAAUGCAGGCCUAUUGCUUCCUCUAUCGAAGGAGGAGAUUUUUGAGACCAUCCGGUCAACCAACCCUAACUCUGCUUCGGGCCCAGAUGGCUUCUCUAUUCCCUUCUUCAGAAAAUUUUGGCCACAGCUGCGUGGCCUCGUACUUGCUAUCGUUCAAGGCUUCCGUUUGGGGACAAUUGAUAUCUCUCGUCUGAAUUAUGCUGUUCUCACCCUCAUCCCUAAAGUUAAAGGGACCGACAAAAUUACUCAGUUCAAGCCAAUAACUCUCAUCAACAAUUUUGCUAAGAUCCCUGCUAAAGGCUUUGCCAUGUGGCUCUCCCCUAUCGCUGACCGGACCCUCAGUCCGUUCCAAUCUGCUUUCGUUAAGGGUCAUUUCAUCCUGGACGACAUUCUUUGUCUCCACGAGAUAGUUCAUGAUAUACGUGCCAGCGGGACUAAAGCGGUGAUCCUUAAACUGGACUUUGAGAAGGCUUAUGAUUCUGUUAGUUGGGACUUCCUACGUUAGGUGCUU